GAUGAACGCUGGCGGCGUGCCUAAUACAUGCAAGUCGAGCGAACAGACGAGGAGCUUGCUCCUCUGACGUUAGCGGCGGACGGGUGAGUAACACGUGGAUAACCUACCUAUAAAACUGGGAUAACUUCGGGAAACCGGAGCUAAUACCGAAUAAUAUAUUGAACCGCAUGGUUCAAUAGUGAAAGACGGUUUUGCUGUCACUUAUAGAUGGAUCCGCGCCGCAUUAGCUAGUUGGUAAGGUAACGGCUUACCAAGGCAACGAUGCGUAGCCGACCUGAGAGGGUGAUCGGCCACACUGGAACUGAGACACGGUCCAGACUCCUACGGGAGGCAGCAGUAGGGAAUCUUCCGCAAUGGGCGAAAGCCUGACGGAGCAACGCCGCGUGAGUGAUGAAGGUCUUCGGAUCGUAAAACUCUGUUAUUAGGGAAGAACAAAUGUGUAAGUAACUAUGCACGUCUUGACGGUACCUAAUCAGAAAGCCACGGCUAACUACGUG
rnacentral:rRNA from 1 species